rnacentral:rRNA from 1 species
GAUUGAACGCUGGCGGCAGGCUUAACACAUGCAAGUCGAGCGGGGAGAUGUAGCUUGCUACAUUUCCUAGCGGCGGACGGGUGAGUAAUGCUUAGGAAUCUGCCUAUUAGUGGGGGACAACAUUCCGAAAGGAAUGCUAAUACCGCAUACGUCCUACGGGAGAAAGCAGGGGAUCUUCGGACCUUGCGCUAAUAGAUGAGCCUAAGUCAGAUUAGCUAGUUGGUGGGGUAAAGGCCUACCAAGGCGACGAUCUGUAGCGGGUCUGAGAGGAUGAUCCGCCACACUGGGACUGAGACACGGCCCAGACUCCUACGGGAGGCAGCAGUGGGGAAUAUUGGACAAUGGGCGCAAGCCUGAUCCAGCCAUGCCGCGUGUGUGAAGAAGGCCUUUUGGUUGUAAAGCACUUUAAGCGAGGAGGAGGCUACUUGGAUUAAUACUCUAGGAUAGUGGACGUACUCGCAGAUAGCCCGAU